CUUGGUCAUUUAGAGGAAGUAAAAGUCGUAACAAGGUUUCCGUAGGUGAACCUGCGGAAGGAUCAUUACCUAGAGUUUGUAGACUUCGGUCUGCUACCUCUUACCCAUGUCUUUUGAGUACCUUCGUUUCCUCGGCGGGUCCGCCCGCCGAUUGGACAACAUUCAAACCCUUUGCAGUUGCAAUCAGCGUCUGAAAAAACAUAAUAGUUACAACUUUCAACAACGGAUCUCUUGGUUCUGGCAUCGAUGAAGAACGCAGCGAAAUGCGAUAAGUAGUGUGAAUUGCAGAAUUCAGUGAAUCAUCGAAUCUUUGAACGCACAUUGCGCCCCUUGGUAUUCCAUGGGGCAUGCCUGUUCGAGCGUCAUUUGUACCUUCAAGCUCUGCUUGGUGUUGGGUGUUUUGUCUCGCCUCUGCGUGUAGACUCGCCUUAAAACAAUUGGCAGCCGGCGUAUUGAUUUCGGAGCGCAGUACAUCUCGCGCUUUGCACUCAUAACGGCGACGUCCAAAAGUACAUUUUUACACUCUUGACCUCGGAUCAGGUAGGGAUACCCGCUGAACUUAAGCAUAUCAAUAAGCGGAGG
rnacentral:rRNA from 1 species